UGCCCAAAAAAAUGAAAAUGGGCCUCGGAUCAGAAAGGGGGUGCAAGCCCGUGGAGGGGGUGAAUAGGAAGGAUCCGUUUGGGCCCUAGGCCCAAAACGCAAACCCAAUAGAGGUGUUAGGUCAGUUAGAAAUCACAAGGUACUUCUAUUGCCUUUGUAGGUACUUCUAUGGAAGGAAGAGUAACUUGGCCUAGAGGGAAAUGGAGACAUGAAGCAUGAAGAUGGUGGAUGAAGAAGUGUGGUUGAAUGUUAGUGUUUAGGAAUUUAGAUUAGAUUUAGAUGUUAGAAUCUUAGGUUAUAUGUUAGUUCAUGCUUGUUCUUGAAUUUGCUCAUAAUUUAUAAUAUGUAAUGUAUUAAUAUGGAUUAUGUAUAUGAACCUUAAAAUUGAAUUUGAAUGAAAAGUUUGGAAAUUGAAUGAAA